GCUGGAAUAGCUCAACUGGUAGAGCACCUCACUUGUAAUGAGGAUGUUGCGGGUUCAAGUCCUGUUUCCAGCUCCA
rnacentral:tRNA from 10 species